AAACAGUACAUUGGCAGCCAGCAUGCAAAGUUAAGGACCUAAUAGGCUACUAUAAAAUAAAAAGCAUCAUCUCACCUUGUUUCCUUUUAUCUGUGGAGUAAUGAGGAAGCUUUAUCCUGAGCAGCAAUGGGCAGCUGUGGCUGAGAGUGGUAGCUGACCGCUUUGGGCCUAUCAUCGCUUCCAUUCCUGGUAUGAAUCGGUGUGUAAUCUCUGCCUUAGCCACACCACCACUGAGGGUCGACCUGUGGGAAGCCAGGGACCCACGUUCAGUGUUAACCUGCUCAAAAAUGGUCUAGCACUGAAUGGAGGGACAGCACCUGGGGACUCCAGACACUAUAACCACUUUAGUGAGAUGAAAUUGUCUAACACUGAGUAGAGGGACAGUG